AGCACCCACUUCCGGGAGCCCGUGCGGCAGCUGGCACAGAAGCAGGUGGAGCAGAUGCAUCUGCGAUACUACAACUCGGACGUGCACCGCGCCGCCUUCGUGCUGCCCGAGUUCGCGCGCAGGGCCCUGAAUGAUGUGAGCUGAGUCCAGGUGCCGCUGCCGACACCACCCAGGACCUCGGGCCAAAGAGCCUCCGGCGUGCCUGGGCCCCACCAGCCCCGGACCAGACCUCCUGCCGGCUCUCGCCCACCGACCAAGUGUUACAGGCCCAGAAUGCUGCCCGGCCUGCCCUGCUGGGCGGACUGUCUGUCUGUGUGUGUGUCUUUCUGUGUGGCUUUCAGCCUCCAAGCCUAUACCAGCUGUGUACAGCGCCAUCUCUGCCUUCUGUCGCCCCCUCAUUCACCAAACACAUGUAUUUAUAACAAAGUCUGGAAUCACA